GCACCCGUAGCUCAGCUGGAUAGAGCGUUGCCCUCCGAAGGCAACGCUAAGUCAAGUGCGAUUUGGGUGAG
rnacentral:tRNA from 1 species